AUUGCAGUGUUUGACGGAGCUGGAUCCCAGGAACGACGUGAAAGGAAAUGAUGUGCUGGUAACUGCCGUGCAUGUCGUUUGUUUCGGUUGUAAAGAUGAAGAACUGCGAUGGACAUUGUGUGUGGCGCAGAGGCACUACAGGGUCGAACACCACCCGGACGACCUCGGCGUGGCCCGUUCUACCUGGAGGAAGGACAGGUCAAAGGCUCCCGGCCUCCACGCCGUCUGGGCCGCACAAGGACAGCCCGAGAGGAGCUGCGAUCAAUGUGAGAAGCACACUAUAUAGAAUUUUCUGGAGAAGCCACGCUCCAGUGACGCUCCGAACAUUCGCAGCUUUUCUCCCCAUGAUGCAGGUGCUUUCGGCCGCCUCCACCUCCCAACGCACCCCACCCGACCCCCACAAAAGGGAGGGUUGUCUCUGGUUUUGCCUAACAGUCCCCCCCCCCCCCCCCUUCUCUUACCUCUGCUGCAUUUUGCAUGAGCUAUCUAGGUCAUUAGCAUUUUAGCGUAUGCAAGACUUGACAAAGCUGACGAGGAGCCAGAUGGGCCCCUCUUCUAUUUUUUUGUAUCACUUGGGAGUUGAGCAAAAGGACUGACUGCAGCAAGCCAGCAAGCGCUUUCUUUUUUUACUAUCACCCGGGCCUGUCGCUGCACCACUACGGGAUCGGGGCUUCCGCCGCAUCCAAGGGAAAUAAAACAAACAACCCGCUCGAGCGCUUACCAGAAUAGGUAAUGUAGAUUGAGAAGACGCUUGUGCUUUUGUACGUUUUGAUUUUUUGUUGCCUCUUUAUGUAUAUUUGUAUUGAUAUUGUUUUUUUUCUCUCUCUCCAUUUAUGGUACUUGUAUUAAUUGCCUUUAUGUAAUUAUAAGCUAAUAACUGCAUCUUUGACAUAAAUGUCUACUGAUACGGCAUGUAGGCUACAGUUGCUACAAUAUAUGGUCGUACGUCAAACGGAUGAAGGAUUGCACAUUUUGGUGCAAUAUCGCCGCUUAUAGAAGGCUGUGGUUGUCCUUAUAAAGCACACGGCAUCUCUCUAGGUAGUUGCUACUACUUCUCUGGGUAAAAUGGAACGAUACAAGGAAGAAAGACAGAAAAGGGCCUGACUCUCUUCGUGUUCACAGCGGACCUUGAUUUAAAUGUCCAUACAAUUAAGGCACGCGGUGAAUGCCAAGAGAGAUGGUAAAUGUCGUCGAUAUGACUCGUUUUUUAACCAGCCCGUGACAAUGGCAUGAAUGACGAAUAUCUAAAUUAUUUCUUAUCUUAAUAUGCGUAUACCAAGUGGAACCUCUUCAUCCUUACACGUGACAGGUAAAUAUUUUGGGGUUCUUUUGCGCUCCUUUAUGAAAGGCGCAGACUGUCAGUAGGCAACGGGACCAAAAUCCGCAGUGGAUUGACUAAAUCUAUUUUACAGUAAGGUCAAGCAGGAUAUCGUUUAAAACUAUUUUAAUCAGGUACGAAAAUCGCAUUCGUGUGUCAUGCCAAGCAAGAUAGUUUAGACGUGAAUAUCAAUACGCGUCCAUUUUAACUCUAAACAAAAUGGGGACGCCUCUGUACAUAGUCCAUGUGCAGUGAAUCCGUUCAUCAAAACAUCAGUUACAGACAAAACCUAAAGUUAAUUUAUGUUAUCCUAGUUAUUAAAAACGCUGCUUUUUAAGACAUUAUUCAUAUUGUGAAAUAUAGUACAUCCUUUUGAGUCAAAUGACAGUAUAUGCAAACAUAGAAAUGGGUCAGUUAUGUAAUCCACGCAGAAUGUGUGCGGACUGCGCUAGUGAAGUUGUCAGGAUAAGUGGGGCAUCACACCACUGCACCGGCAGGUAUGAGCAUAAUUAGUGAACUCGAUGUCCUUUUGCCUCUAAAAGUCGCUGCGGCCUAGUAAUGGAAUGUCAGAUGUCCACGGGGUGAUGCCUAGGCAACACUGUUUUAGUUUUCUGUUCUUUUUCAAAUGUAUUUAUUUAUAUAUUGCUUACAGGUUCGGAAAUAAAUAUGCAAGUUAUUUAGCUUGGUGGUUUUCUACAGUACCUGUGUUAAAAUGGCACAAGGGCAUUUGUAAAGGUCGCUUUUGUGGAGCGACUGCGUGGGAUUUAUUGCAGAUAUAGCCUUAGGCGUAAUACAUUAUUGUAUGCCCGUAAAAUUGUUUAAUGUUUUCCAUAUCAGGUGAUUAUUGUAACCAACAUGUUGACAAUAAAAAUCAUACUACUCUCAAAAA